rnacentral:rRNA from 1 species
CCUACGGGUGGCAGCAGUGAGGAAUAUUGGUCAAUGGACGAGAGCCUGAACCAGCCAAGCCGCGUGAAGGAUGACUGCCCUAUGGGUUGUAAACUUCUUUUAUAUGGGAAUAAAACACGGUACGUAUACCCUCCUGCAUGUAUCCUAUGAAUAAGGAUCGGCUAACUCCGUGCCAGCAGCCGCGGUAAUACGGAGGAUCCGAGCGUUAUCCGGAUUUAUUGGGUUUAAAGGGUGCGUAGGUGGAGUGGUAAGUCAGCUGGGAAAGUUCGGGGCUCAACCGUAGAAGUGCAGUUGAAACUGGCAGUCUUGAGUGCGGUAGAGGUGAGCGGAAUGCGUGGUGUAGCGGUGAAAUGCUUAGAUAUCGCGAAGAACUCCGAUUGCGAAGGCAGCUCACUGGACUGCAACUGACGCUGAGGCUCGAAAGUGUGGGGAUCGAACAGGAUUAGAUACCCUUGUAGUC